rnacentral:tRNA from 1 species
GGUAAAAUGGCUGAAAUUAAGGCGUUAGAUUGUAAAUCUAUUUAUGAAAGAAAAUUUCUUUUAUCA